CCAAAACUUCAUUAGUUAUCAUGGUUAUACAUGCUUAAGUGAAACCCUUGAUCAUGUAUUUUUGGCUUUUAGUAGAUAAUAUAGAGCAAUAUGAAUCAACACAUUGCAAUUUGGAAUCAUUUUCGUUGAGGAUUUAAGACAUGGUAUAUUACAUAUCAACUGAGGGGUUGUUUUUGGUCUUAGCUAGUUUGUGAUAAUCAUAGAAAGUGCUUACAUUUUACAUAUGACAUGUAUUUUUAUUAAUCAGAAAAGAAUGUAAUUUUGCUUUAACAAAUAAGUUAAUAAGAUGAAAGUUAAAUGAAUGUUGUAUUGGAAUAUUUGAUGUACCAUGUAUUGAUCAAAGUAUUUAUUCUUGGCAUUGAUAAUCACAUGAUUGUUUGAAGACAUUCCAACAUUAUAAUUACUUGUAAAUUAAUAAAUGAAUAUGUUAUUGC
rnacentral:misc_RNA from 1 species